GACGAACGCUGGCGGCGUGCCUAAUACAUGCAAGUAGGACGCAGUUGCGAACGGGUGAGUAACGCGUAGGUAACUCCCUAUUAGCGGGGGAUAACUAUUGGAAACGAUAGCUCAUACCCCCUACUAGUAGAUGGACCUGCGUUGUAUUAGCUCGUAGGUUGGGUAAUGGCCUAACUAGGCAACGAUACCUACACUCCCUGAGAGGGUGAACGGCCACACUGGGACGGAGACACGGCCCAGACUCCUAAGGGAGGCAGCAGUAGGGAAUCUGCGGCAAUGGGGCGAACCCUGACCGAGCAACGCCGCGUGAGUGAAGAAGGUUUUCGGAUCGUAAAGCUCUGUUGUUAAGGAAGCGGUACUUAACCAGAAAGGGACGGCUAACUACGUGCCAGCAGCCGCGGUAAUUC
rnacentral:rRNA from 1 species